CAUUUUUAAGUGUACAGUUUAGUGAAAUUAAGCUAAAAUGUUAGCUCCAUAAAGCUAGGGAAUCUCUCUUUUGUUCAUGUAUCCCAAGAGUCUAGAGCAAUUCUUGGCAUAGUGGGCAAUUAAAUUGUGGUAGGGAUGUUGUUGAGGUCUUGGGUGUUCAAAGGGAGCUUUAGGGAGGGAGUAAACUAGGCUCCCUAGCAGUUUCAGAAGUUUGGAAGUUUCAGAAGAGAAGGAUGUGAAGAAGUAGUUGGAGAGAAGGCUAUCAAGGUAGUUUGUGGCUAGAUGAUGGAGGGUCUCCAGUACUACCCUAGGGAGUUUGGCUUUCUCUUGUUGGAUGGUUUUUCCUUAAAGGAAACUUAAUCUGCUGUGUGUAGGUUAGAUGCGGGAAACCAGAUGUUACACCAUGCCUGUGUGGAUGUGCAGCUGCUAGUUUAUCAUAGGUCAUCUUCGAUUAUAGUUUGGUAUUUUUUGGCUUCUAUUAUUUUGAUAUAUUUGUUUUUGUUAAUAUAAGAAUGACAAGACUACAUUAUUAUUAUUAUUUUUUUUUGAGACGGAGUCUCGCUCUGUCGCCCAGGCUG
rnacentral:lncRNA from 1 species